rnacentral:rRNA from 1 species
ACGCACGCUGGCGGCGUGCUUCACCCAUGCAAGUCGAACGGAAAGGCCCUGCUUUUGUGGGGUGCUCGAGUGGCGAACGGGUGAGUAACACGUGAGUAACCUGCCCUUGACUUUGGGAUAACUUCAGGAAACUGGGGCUAAUACCGGAUAGGAGCUCCUGCUGCAUGGUGGGGGGUGGAAAGUUUCGGCGGUUGGGGAUGGACUCGCGGCUUAUCAGCUUGUUGGUGGGGUAGUGGCUUACCAAGGCUUUGACGGGUAGCCGGCCUGAGAGGGUGACCGGCCACAUUGGGACUGAGAUACGGCCCAGACUCCUACGGGAGGCAGCAGUGGGGAAUAUUGCACAAUGGGCGGAAGCCUGAUGCAGCAACGCCGCGUGCGGGAUGACGGCCUUCGGGUUGUAAACCGCUUUCGCCUGUGACGAAGCGUGAGUGACGGUAAUGGGUAAAGAAGCACCGGCUAACUACGUG